GAAAUGCGAUAAGUAGUGUGAAUUGCAGAAUUCAGUGAAUCAUCGAAUCCUUGAACGCACACUGCGCCCCUUGGUAUUCCAUGGGGCAUGCCUGUUCGAGCGUCAUUUGUACCCUCAAGCUCUGCUUGGUGUUGGGUGUUUGUCCCCGUCUCCGCGCGUGGACUCGCCCCAAAGUGAUUGGCAGCCGGCGUACUGGUCCCGGAGCGCAGCACAUGUCGCGCAAACGAGUGCCUUGGUACGGCGGCGUCCAUAAGCCCCUCUCUCACGCUCUUGACCUCGGAUCAGGUAGGGAUACCCGCUGAACUUAAGC
rnacentral:misc_RNA from 1 species